rnacentral:rRNA from 1 species
CGUAGGGUGCGAGCGUUGUCCGGAAUUAUUGGGCGUAAAGAGCUCGUAGGCGGUUUGUCGCGUCGACUGUGAAAACCCGAGGCUUAACCUCGGGCCUGCAGUCGAUACGGGCAGACUAGAGUUCGGUAGGGGAGACUGGAAUUCCUGGUGUAGCGGUGAAAUGCGCAGAUAUCAGGAGGAACACCGGUGGCGAAGGCGGGUCUCUGGGCCGAUACUGACGCUGAGGAGCGAAAGCGUGGGGAGCGAACAGGAUUAGAUACCCUGGUAGUCCACGCCGUAAACGUUGGGCGCUAGGUGUGGGGGUCUUUCCACGAUCUCCGUGCCGCAGCUAACGCAUUAAGCGCCCCGCCUGGGGAGUACGGCCGCAAGGCUA